CAGCUCAGUGGUAGCACAUCUGCUUUGCAUGCACAAGGUCCCAGGUUCAAUCCCUGGCAUAUAGU
rnacentral:tRNA from 1 species